UUGUUGUCAUCGAUUGUCAUCAAAGUUGAAAUCAGCUUAGCUGCGGAUAGAUUUCUGCCAUAAGCUGUUGAAGGGAUCAUUUGAGUGAAAUCAAUGUUGAUUUAUCAGAAGAUGCAGUUGAAGAUAUCUUAAUUAAGGAUGUAAUACAAUUAUAAAGACUGAUGGUUAUAACAGCUGAUCAUGCUAAGGACUGUUAUAAUUAACCACUGCUCCUUAUAAAGACUGAUGGACUUAAAUACUGAUGAGGCCU